rnacentral:rRNA from 1 species
GACGAACGCUGGCGGCGUGCUUAACACAUGCAAGUCGAACGGAAAGGCCCUGCUUGCAGGGUACUCGAGUGGCGAACGGGUGAGUAACACGUGGGUGAUCUGCCCUGCACUUCGUGAUAAGCCUUGGAAACUGGGUCUAAUACCGGAUAGGAGCCAUUUUUAGUGUGAUGGGUGGAAAGUUUUUUCGGUGUAGGAUGAGCUCGCGGCCUAUCAGCUUGUUGGUGGGGUAAUGGCCUACCAAGGCGGCGACGGGUAGCCGGCCUGAGAGGGUGGACGGCCAAAUUGGGAGUGAGAUAAGGCCCAGACUCCUACGGGAGGCAGCAGUGGGGAAUAUUGCACAAUGGGGGGAAGCCGGAUGCAGCGACGCCGGGUGGGGGAUGAAGGCCUUCGGGUUGUAAACUCCUUUCGCUAGGGAAGAAGCUUUUUGUGACGGUAACUAGAUAAGAAGCACCGGCUAACUACGUG